UAAGCGUGAGGUCGGUGGUUCAAGUCCACUUAGGCCCAUCCUAUAUUGUGGGGCCUUAGCUCAGCUGGGAGAGCGCCUGCUUUGCACGCAGGAGGUCAUCGGUUCGAUCCCGAUAGGCUCCACCAUUUUAAGUGAACAGAAAUCGUUCCUUGAAAACUAGAUAACCGGAAAAGCUGAGGUGCCGCGGUUAGCUCUCGAAGCCAAAUGUUCUUCACCCGCAGGGAUGCUUGCAUCCCAAGGGGGGAGGUUAUUUGGCAGAAGAGAGCUAGGUGCCGAAGCUAGACAAUAAGGAA
rnacentral:tRNA from 1 species